UACGUAGGGCGCGAGCGUUGUCCGGAAUUAUUGGGCGUAAAGAGCUCGUAGGCGGCCUGUUGCGUCUGCUGUGAAAUCCCGGGGCUCAACCCCGGGCGUGCAGUGGAUACGGGCGGGCUAGAGGCAGGCAGGGGAGAACGGAAUUCCCGGUGUAGCGGUGAAAUGCGCAGAUAUCGGGAGGAACACCGGUGGCGAAGGCGGGUCUCUGGGCAACAACUGACGCUGAGGAGCGAAAGCGUGGGGAGCGAACAGG
rnacentral:rRNA from 1 species